GGACUACACGGGUUUCUAAUCCUGUUCGCUCCCCACGCUUUCGCUCCUCAGCGUCAGGUAAGGCCCAGAGAACCGCCUUCGCCACCGGUGUUCCUCCCGAUAUCUGCGCAUUUCACCGCUACACCGGGAAUUCCAUUCUCCCCUACCUACCUCUAGUCUGCCCGUAUCCACUGCAAGCCAGGGGUUGAGCCCCUGGUUUUCACAGCGGACGUAACAGACCGCCUACGAGCUCUUUACGCCCAAUAAUUCCGGACAACGCUUGCGCCCUACGUGUUACCGCGGCUGCUGGCAC
rnacentral:rRNA from 1 species